GGAAUUCGAUUUUCCGGUUGAUCCUGCCGGACCCUACUGCUAUCGGGGUGGGACUAAGACAUGCGAGUUGAGCGUCUCUAAGCCAUGGUAGAGACGCAGCGUACGGCUCAGUAACACGUGGCUAACCUACCCUUAGGACGGGGACAACCCCGGGAAACUGGGACUAAUACCCGAUAGGUGAGGAGGCCUGGAAUGGUUCUUAGUCGAAAAGGCGUUGAAACCAUGCUUUUCGACGUCGCCUAAGGAUGGGGCCGCGUCCGAUCAGGUUGUUGGUGGGGUAACGGCUCACCAAGCCUUUAACCGGUACGGGCCGUGAGAGGGGGAGCCCGGAGAUGGGCACUGAGACAAGGGCCCAGGCCCUACGGGGCGCAGCAGUCGCGAAAACUCCGCAAUGCGCGAAAGCGCGACGGGGCUACCCCGAGUGCCGUCCGCUGAGGAUGGCUUUUCCCCGGUGUAAUGAGCCGGGGGAAUAAGGAGAGGGCAAGACUGGUGUCAGCCGCCGCGGUAAUACCAGCUCUCCGAGUGGUAGGGAUGAUUAUUGGGCCUAAAGCGUCCGUAGCCGGCUUAGCAAGUCUCCUGUUAAAUUCAGCGACCUAAUCGUUGAGCCGCGGGAGAUACUACUAGGCUAGGAGGCGGGAGAGGCCGACGGUAUUCUCGGGGUAGGGGUGAAAUCCUAUAAUCCCGGGAGGACCACCAGUGGCGAAGGCUGUCGGCUAGAACGCGCUCGACGGUGAGGGACGAAAGCUGGGGGAGCGAACCGGAUUAGAUACCCGGGUAGUCCCAGCCGU
rnacentral:rRNA from 1 species